GAUGAACGCUAGCGGCAGGCCUAACACGUGCAAGUCAGGGGGUAACAUAGGAAAGCUUGCUUUUUCUGAUGACGACCGGCGCACGGGUGCGUAACGCGUAUACAACCUACCUUUUUAGCGGGGAAUAGCCCAGGGAAACUUGGAUUAAUGCCCCAUAGUAUAUAGACUUCUCCUGAAGUUUAUAUUAAACAUUUAUGGCUAUUAGAUGGGUAUGCGUCCUAUUAGUUAGUUGGUAAGGUAACGGCUUACCAAGGCAGCGAUAGGUAGGGGUCCUGAGAGGGAGACUCCCCACACUGGUACUGAGACACGGACCAGACUCCUACGGGGAGGCAGCAGUGAGGAAUAUUGGACAAGUGGGCGAGAGCCUGAUCCAGCCAUGCCGCGUGCAGGAAGACUCGCCCUAGUGGGUUAGUAAACUGUCUUUUACAGAGGAAGAACCCACCCCCACGUGUGGGGGUUUGACGGUACUCUGCGAAUAAGGAUCGGCUAACUCCGUG
rnacentral:rRNA from 1 species